UGUCUCACUGUUGUUCUUCGCACCUCUGGAACCCCAUCCAAUCCUCACCACCAUGGACCGCUCAUCUCAGUUCCUGUGUCACGCUCUCCUGCUGUCUCUACUCAUCGACACUUCCUGGGUCACCAUCAGACAUCUCUACAUACCUGUUGUUCCUGCCAUUCUUCUCUAUUCAUUGGACUCUGUUAAUAAAUCCUAUUUCAUUUACUUGCACUUGCUUCCUUACCAUUAUUUCCCAUUACAGAACGCUCUGACCAACAUGGAAGCAGCAAGUUUCACAUCCCUAUCCGAAUACAUCCACCACAGCGUCACCCUAUGGAUCAACAGCAGGAGACCAUCGUCAACACCGGAUGCGCUGUCCAAGCGCUGGUGACACAGUUGGGGUUAACGCCACCACGCUGCGGCAGAUGGAGACGCUGAAGAGGGACUUCAGCAGCCUGAUCGAGACGGUUCGCAGCACGACACCCGCGGCGACGAUCGUCGUGUUAGGACCACUGCCCACGUAUCGACGAGGACACGAAAGGUUCAGUAGACUUUUUGCUUUAAAUGAAUGGUUGUUGUCAUGGUGUAAAGAACAGAAACUUCUAUUUGUUAAUAACUGGUAUCUUUUCUGGGAGCGUCCUAGGCUGUUUCGCGCUGAUGGAUUACACCCCAGCAAAAUCGGAGCGGAGCUGCUUUCUGACAACAUCUCCAGGACACUUCGUUCCAUGUGACUAAACACCUGAGAAGAGAUGAUGCUGACCCUCAGAGGACCCCAGAUGAUGCUAACCUUGAAUCAACAAACAGAACUAACAAUUAUUGCUAAAUGUGUGACUGCAUCAUAUAAUAACUAUUAAUUACUAAUAUUGAUAGUUCAUCUUCUAGCUGACUACAUCUUGUAUUAUUAUUAUUUAUUUUUAUGUUUUCUAAAAUCCUGUCAAACGUGCACAAACUACUAGCUACUACUAAAUAUUGUAGAAACAUAAUUUUCUGUAAAGUUGCUUUGUAACUAUUUGUAUUGUAAAAAGCGCUAUACAAAUAAACUUGAAUUGAAUUGAAUUGAAAA